rnacentral:rRNA from 1 species
AGUAGUUUGAUCAUGGCUCAGACGACGCUGGCGGCGUGCUUAACACAUGCAAGUCGAACGGGCACUUCGGUGCUAGUGGCGAACGGGUGAGUAAAGCGCAGGUAAUCUGCCGCAAAGUCGGGGACAACGUUGCGAAAGUGACGCUAAUACCGGAUGUUGUGCGGAGUUCGCAUGGAUUCUGUACUAAAGAUUUAUCGCUUUGCGAGGAGCCUGCGUCCGAUUAGCUAGUUGGUGGGGUAAGAGCCUACCAAGGCGACGAUCGGUAGCCGGUCUGAGAGGAUGAACGGUCACAAUGGAACUGAGACACGGUCCAUACUCC